CGGCUGGCAGAAGUUAAGGCCUGACUUCUGCUCCCAGUCGAUCCAGUCGACCCGGGUUCAAAUCCGCCUGCCAGCUCCUCGGGUGAUUGAGGAGUGAUGAAAUGGGAGGUGGCCCCCCAUCAUAUGGACGGUGUAGGACGUGAUAAUAUCAACUUGCGAGCUGACCAGGAACUAAGUUGAUGCGCCGUUGAUCCGCUAGAUUUGGUUUGAUGCUGGUGGUGAGUUGCCGAACCCAACGAAUACAUUCUGAAGUCGGAUGGGGUGACGGAUUAGGGUGCCCCUCUAGCAGGGGAGAGCAGGGACUGCCCCGGGAAAGGGGGCCGCUGGCGAAGUUAACCACCCUGUAACAACAUACAUACACCUCGUGCGAACUCCGGGGUUUCUUGUGGCCUACUUCCUGUACCAUGAGACCUCCCGCCUCACGUGCCCCCUCCCCCUGCAGGCCCCUGACCAGCUUGGCCGCCCUCACCUCCGCACCCGACAUGGUGGACGACUUGUUCCUGCUGGGGCUGAGGGCGCUGGGCUACGCGCCGCGGCUGCUGUUGGCGCCCCCCGGGCCUCCCGGGGCGGACUGCCGCGCGCUGGUCACAUUGCUGGACGUGGCAAUGGUGCGUGUGUGUAUGUAUGUAUGUGUGUAUGUGUGCAUGCCUUGAAAUGAUUCGAGCCGCAAAAAACAAGUGAUAGGUGAGAAGUGGUACAAGAGUAAGAACGUUAACGUUGAUGUGUGUUGGGUGGGGGUCGGGAAGGGGAAGGCAGAGGCUAUUAAGACGCGCAUGAUGGGGAGAACGGCCUAGGGGGAAAGGAGGGGGCUCAGCACGUGGUGGCGAUGAAGGACCGGCAACGUACUGGGGUUUGCGGAGAGGAGGAGGAGCCGGCAGGUAAGGAGGAACCUCAGGCACCCUAUGGCGCUAGGAAAUCCUAGACCCCCUAAAUUUGUCUUCGUUGCGGAGUGCUGGGUGCUAGUAGAGUAAUGACUCCUUCCUUACACCCUCUUCAUCCCCUACCUACUCGCGCCGUCGCCGAUGCCGGCGCCCUUCGUUCCCUAUACGUGGCUCUCUCUCUCCUCCAACAUGCAGAUUGGCUGCGUGAUGCAGCACCGGGAGGCCAACGGCUCCGUGCUGGGGUUCAUCGCUCGCCUCACGUCACCCACCACCCUCGCUCGCUGUCCGUCCACCGCCGCCGACGUGCUCGGGGCUCACCUGCUGCCCCGCGCGCCUAUCUUUGUCCGGCUGCUGCUGUCGGGUAUCUCUGGCACGCUGCCGCUGGGUCGCGUGUCGGUGGUGGGGGCGGCGCUGAUCGGUGUGGUGGGGUUUGGGGCGACGAGGGCGGCCAGCGGGGGCGGGGGCGGGGGCUCGGUGGAUGUGGGAUCGAGCCAGGGAAUGGGGUGGUUGGCGGCGGCGUUGCAGGCGGUGCCGGACGUGGCGGCGACGUCGAGCGACAAGCAGGUGUGUGUAUGUGUGUGUAUGUAUGUGUGUGUAUGUAUGUGUGUGUAUGUAUGUGUGUAUGUAUGUGUGUAUGUGUGUGUCGGAGCGCCUGGGCGUGUGUCUCUCUGAACGUGUUUCUUACUAAUCCGUGGCUAACCCGUGGUCUGCAUGCGAUGCGUGCUCUGGGUGUGCGCGUACGUGGUGUAUGUCCCUGCUUUCCCUCGUAUCUCGGACAUGCUGUGGAAGAACCCGAAACGUGCGCUCCUUUGCGUGUUCUUUGUGGCAGUGUAUAUAUGUCUGUCCUUUACACAGCUUACAGAACCACGUCUUGUGUGUGUGACGGGAAGCAGCCCCAACGACCCCAAACUGUCCCAACCCACUUCAACGAAUACCGUUGCUACAACUGCUGUGCACGCCAAAGCUUUCGCGAUAAACUCCAACCGACCCGACCCUAGUCAUAACCGACCGACUCUUAACUGCUAACCAAGCAACCCCAACCGCGCACACAGGCCUUCCUGGGUGCCGCCACUGCGGCUCUGCGUGCUGGUCCCCGGUCGGGGCCCAACCCCGAGGACAGCGACAUGAUGGCCAACGGAGACGGAGGUGAGCGGCUCGGGGCGGACGGCGGGGUGGAGGUUGUAGGGUGGGAUCCCUUCCUGGAUGGGUUUGAAAAGACCACAGUGACCCACGGGACUGCUCCAUGAACCCGUGUGAACUCUGGGUUCCGCCAAUGGGCAAGUGCCCUAGUGCGCACGGUACAUGAGAAGCGGGGGCCCGGAUAUUGCGCGCAUCUGCCUAUGCAGUUACGGGGGGGGGGAAAAGGGAAGACGACGAUAGGAAUACUACAAGUAAUACGGCCCCUUUACGUAGAAGCACCCCGUCUCCUUACGUAAAAACAUGGCCGAUCCUGCUGGUCGUGCUGCUGCUGCUCCUGCUGCUGCUCCUGCUGCUGCCAAUGCACAUUUUGGUCCUCCACCUCCCGGUUGCUGUAGCAGGCAGUGGCGGUUAUUACGACAGCGGGUGGGAGGCCGCCUGCCAGGAGUUUGCUGACCUGUGCCGCCGCAACAAGAGGGCACGGCAGGCGGCCCAGGCGGCGUUGCUGCCCCAGGAGCUGGCGGCGGCGGUGGACCUAGGGGAGCGGCGCCGGGGGGGCUGAGCGGGGCUCGGAUUCGACGGGUUGGGGAGAGGGGGAGGGUCGGGUUUGUGUUUCGGGUGUUGAGUUCACCUUAAGGAGCAUCGUGCUUGGGUGGAGAGGGAAAGACUUGUUGCUGGCAGGGCUUUUUUAAGGCGCCAGCGGAUGGGGGCGUGGGGAGAUGUGGGAGGUGGGUUGAGUGGGCGCGGUGCCACUGUGGUGAGGUGGUUUAGAUUAUUCGACUUUGUAGUGUGUGGGGGGUGCGGUGGAGGUGGAGAUGAUAUGGGGGGCCCAAGGGAGUGCCAGAGUGUGUGUGUGUAUGUGUGCAGCGGACGUGGAGAGUUUGGGAGCAGGCGGGUUCCGAGGAAACGACACGUGAACGCAGACCUUACGGCGGAGAAAGUGGAGAGGAGGCAUGGAACGGACGAACAGACGUAUGGACAAAACAGGCAACGUGGUUAUACCUUGCAGCAUCAGCAGUAGCAGCACCAGCACCAGCACCACCAUCAGCAGCAGUAGUGUUUCGUCUGCUGCUACCACUGCGCUGCUGCUACCAGCAUUCAUUGGCCUGGAGGGAAUUCCUUCGCGGUCGAGGGCGAAAGGGUCUCAUGGCCGCAUGGGCCUCGGAUUGGGAGGCACCAGAUUUCUGCUGCUGCUCUGCUGGGGGGGACUUCGUAGGGGAGACCGGGGCGCGGAGGCGGCGUCGUGUCCCAUAGCGCGGGGUAGACACGGUUGUUGAGGGCCAGACGACCGGGCCCCGCUUAUGGGUGCUGUGCAUGGAGGGAGGUGCGCGUGCAAAUAAGAAUGGAUGGAUGGAUGGAUAGGGGGAGUGUGGGCGCGCACUCCACGAAGGGCAAUGAUGUUGCCGCAGUCGGCGGCAGUAGCAGCAGCAGUAGCAAUAUGGAAAGGUCAAUGCAGACCAUGGAAGGCGCCGUCGCAUGGGUGGGGGCGGAGCUAGGGGAGAAGGAGCGGGGUUCGGUACAUCGUGUCGUCAUCGUCAUCGUCGUUAAGAUUGUGGUGGUGGGCAGAGGCGGCGGUGGGCGCUGGAUCAGGAAACGUGUAUACGUCCCGGGAGGCCCCCCUGCUAGAUAAGAAACUGCAGCUCCAGAUUGGAUGGCAAGGCACUGCUCGGCAGCUCGUAAAGGGAGUCAGGAUGUGUUGCUCAACUGCCGCCCUGAUGUGUAUGUGCCUCCCUCUCUGCAGAUGUCAUCGUUUAUUUUUGCAGCCUGCCGUCCGUCUUUGCGCUGCUGCUGGUAGCAAGGUACCGAGCCAGCUGCCAUUCGCCUGCAGUCCUACAAUUCUGUGCGCGCGCUUUUUUGUGUUGCUGCAGAGCGGCUGCCGGAGCUCCUACCUGUCCUGUGUUGUCCUUUCUGUGGCCGCCGCGAGGGUCAACCCUCAGAAACUGUCGAUGCGCGGUAACCGUUACCGUUAUGGUGACCGUUAGGGACCGUUGCGCCUGAGUAACGGCCAGCAGCCAGAUGUGUGUGGUGUCGAAAUUGCAGACAGAAUUCUUCACGUAGUAGCACAAACGCCCGUACAGUCUCCCUCCGCUAUUCCAUGUCGCUGCAAGCAAAGCUUCAUGCAUGCCUCGAUUACGUGCGAUACCGCUCACAUCUGCAUGCCCCAAUGCUGUGCACUGCUCGACGGUAGCCCCAACGCUGUGCACCUUGCCACGUCUCCCUGCCGCGGUGACCUGGCCAGCUAGAACUCUUAACCAAUGAUUCAUACAGCUAUUUCAAACGUACUGCAUUCUCCUCCUCCAGCUCGUUCUGCUGCUUAAGGAAGUAAUCCUACCCUGGAAAGCCCCUCCGCCGUGGAGGUGAAGGGCGCCGCAGACGCCACAGCACCUGGCCUGGAAAGUUUCCAUAACCCGGAACCCAAUCCGCUCACAACCCACCUGUAGUGCUUACACUACUAUUGAGGCUACAGAAUGUGUGCCGUUGUGAUGGCACGUAAACAUGUGCGAGCAAGGUCCCGUCGCUGUUGACCUGUUGAUGUUGGGCACUGUUUACUGCCCUGGAGGUACGCUUCAUGAUUAUAGCGAAGGGCUAUCGAGGCUGAGCGCUCACUGCUGCUUUGAGGCAGCUGCUCUGCUAGAGGCAGGGCUCACUGGGGCCGGCUGGCGGUGCGGCGGCCGGUGUGAAGCAGUCGUGACGUCGCGCCAUCAUAGCUUCCCCGCCAUAAGUUUAGCCGCUGCGUAAGAGUUUAAGCUAAAAUACGGUGGGGAGUGAAUCGAAAUAGCUGGAUUUAAGAGGGCAAGGAACAUUUUGUGCGCGUGGCGUCCGAGCGCGCCUCAAGUCUCCGUUACAUCCUGACGAUGACAAUCCCCUGUUAAUGACAAUCCCCUGCCUCAGAGUACAGCCAUUAAGAGCAUAUCAGCAUAUAACAACACAUGUAAUUUUCAUGCGUGCUUUGGGCCCGGGCAAAGACGCAGUUAUGCAGCACGCAGCAUGACGUCUGACCUGGUCUGACAUAUUUCAAUCGGGUCGCGGCGCAUCGACAGAUCAGGCCUGGGAUAAGACCGCGCGGAUCGCGGAUUUCACGAAUAUGUCCUUGUAUAAUAUUACCUUGACAGUUUCGGUCAUCGUUUCUCUGCUGUGAUGCAACGGAACGAGCCCUCCCUCUCAUCGGAGAGAACCAGUAGGCAAUCCACAGCAAAACCACAUGCAUUUGCACCCAUCAUGUCUGCAUGUUUUUUGUUCGUCAAGGGCUAUCUUUUGGUGUUGCUGUGACCCAAGCGUUCUGUGCUAACGCUCAAAGCGGAUUGCGUCGUAUUGUGCGAAGGCGCCAUAACCGCGGAAGAUUCCUGCUUCGCACCGAUAGCCGACCAGCCAAGUUCCGUGGCCGAUAAAGUUUUUUUCCUUGCAGUAGCACCUACCUUAUCAAUCGGUCCGGAACGCAUGGAAACAGCCGAAGGGCAAGAAAAAGGAGCAGUAGACGGAGGCUGCACGUCAACUUUUUCCGUGUCUGCGUAAGAUUAUUUAGCAGGAACAGCAAUAAGGUGAGAUCGGUCGGUCGGUCGGGAUCGUGUUUCCUACGCUGAUAAGUCUGAUUUGUUUUGUUCUCCUGCUGAAACGGGCGAAACUUGACAGUGUUAAAGGGCUGCAGUAGCUCUGCCUUCCAAGGGCCAAAAACCACAAAAGCUUUGCGUUGCCCAUACGGUAGAUUACAGGUGUUUUUUGAGCGUCCUAUGCGGCAUUAGGACUGAUAAACGAUUUGUGCGCGGGGAAAGUGUUGUCCAAUGCCUUGUCGAUACAGAUUAGCGAUCGGUGCGGGUUUCCUUCUUCUGACGAAACAGGUCCGGUACCAUCCUUAAAUAUCCAUGUCACUUUCUGUCCUUGCACAAGGCAAGGCAGACCGCGCGGGGCGGAAACGGGGGGAUGCCCUUGCUGCUGCUGCUCUGACCCACGGGUCACAUCUCACGCGGCGUACCAUACACAACAGGACGCACGCUUCGCCCCACCUUCUCUUUCCACCAGCCUUCCCCCAUAUCCCUCCUCCUACUUUCGUUCCCCUUGACUAGUAUCUCGUCAGUUUGUACUCAUCACUAUCAUCGGCCCGAGGUUUUACUUUUCACGCGCCCAUUCUUCGCCGUCCCACCCUCCCACCCACUCUCCCGUACUGGUCCCCGGCUGUUCUGCGCGGCCUGGACCCAUCCAGGCAGGCUACAUGAAGCUCUCCGAUUCGGACUCACGGACGUUUCAAGAACUAAGCGAACCGCAGGUCCAACAGCAGCGUGUGCAACCCGGGCCUUGCGGCGGCGGUGGCGGCGGCGGCGGCGGCGGCGGCGGCAACGGAAGUGUGUUUGGGUCCAACAGUAGUGAACCAGCCACAGGGAAUUAUGAUCCAGUGAUCAAAAGAGAGACGCCGCUGCCGCGCGCCGAUGAUGCAGAUGGACCCGCGCUCAGGUCCGAACCUGAACCUGAAUCCACGGCGGUCGGAUCCGGAUCUGGAUUUUCAGGAACUAUCUCGAUCCAGCCAAUUAGUCCAUCUAGCCGGCGGCGGCGGCCCGUGUUUGGUGGCGGUGGCCUGAUGGCGUUACGGUCUCCCCCCCGGCAUAGCCCCUGCGGGGCCCAGGACGCGGCUGCUGCUGCUGCUGCUGCUGCUCAUGGGCCGUUGGUACAACCACCUGCUGUUGGGAGCCAACCGCUUUUGCAACCGCUGUCGCAGCCUUCGCCGGAAGACAGGCAGACAUUCUCAGUGUCGCAGCAGCAGCAGCAGCAGCAGCAGCAGCAGCAGCAGGAGGAGAUGGGGCAGGUGGAGCCGGGCCACCACCCGCCAGCCCCCGGCUGCGAGGGCCAGGUAAUACAGGGCUUGGUGAACCAGGGGCCCCACGCCGCCGCCGCCUCGACAGUCGCUGAGGAGGCCGCGGCGGAGGCGGCGGAGGCUAAGCACACAUCCUGGGUGGGUCUCGAGCCGGCGGGGGUAGCGCCGGCGGCGGCGUCACCAGCCCCGGCGGCGGCGGCGGCGGUGGCGCCGGACGCUCCGCAGCAGCCUGAUGCGGCGCGCGUCACAACUUUGGAGCAGCAGCAGCUGAAACAGGAGCCGCCGCCGCCGCCGCCGCGGCCGCAAUCGGAGGACCCAGACUCGUCCCAUCGAACCCUGCCGUUGCCCGUACAACAGCAGCAGCAACAGAAACUUCAGCAGCUACAGCUACAGCAGCAGCCGCAGCAGCCGCUAGAUCCGGAGGUCGUGGAGCAGCUAAAGUGCGCUAGCCUGGAGGCGGUGAGGCAGCCAGGUGGCCGGGGAGUUGGACGAGCAGGGGAGCGGGGAUGGGGGGGAGGGGAGCAGCAGCAGCAGCAGCAGCAGCAGCAGCUGCCGCUGCAGCAGCAUCGAGAGGAGGCCAGUACUGCUGCUACAGCUGCUGCUACUGCCGCCGCAAGCAGGUCAAGGGAACGGCUGCCAGUGGUACGGCAGUCCCCGGUGGGCUAUGCCGUGGAGUGUAACGGCUACAGGGGGCUGUUCUAUCCAGACCUGUACAUCAUCGCCUGCAGGUGUGUGUGUGUGUGUAUGUGUGUGUUUGGCAGGAGGGGGGUUUGGAGGGGGGAAUUGUGUCGCUGGGGUUUCAUUCUUCCUCCGCUGCCUACACCUACUGGCACUGGUACCUGUAGCGGUAGUGGUAGUGGUGGUGGUGGUGGUGGUGGUCGUGGUGGUGGUGGUGGUUAUCAGCUCUGUUUGCCAGCAGCUCUUGAGUCCGUGGGGGCCUCCCCCCGGGUGCCCCUUCUCGUCAGUGUGUUUUAGGGUUUCGCGGGUUUGUGUAGGGUGUGUGUGCUUUAAUGAUCUUCGGAGCCGCCGCGAGAUGAUCCGCCGGACGAGCGGUGCAGUGGCGGUGCACAAGAUUAACAACCCUUCAUAUGCCGAAGUGAGCUCCGGAGCGUCGCGUGUGUGUAUUCGAGUGGCGUUCGCUGUGGCGGGCCCCCCCCCGCCCCGCCCCCAGAUGCACUCGGUGCCUGACUGAGGCGCACGGUCGUGGCAAGGCUUUCUACCCCUUCGAUUUCGAGCGCCAUGCCGGCAUGGGCGCCAACAAGCGGUGGAAGAGCAGCGUGCGCGUAGCGGGGAUGCACUGCAAGUCCCUCCCCUCCAGCGGCGGCGGCGGCGGCGGCGGCGGCGGCGGUUCCGCCGCCGACGGCUGUAUGAGCCUGGGUCGAUUCAUGGAGAUCCAGAACAUACAAAUCGAGCCCAGUGCACUGGCGCGCUCGUCCACCGCAGCGCCGCCGCCGCCGCCGCCGCCACCCACGUCGUCUGCGUUGGUACAGGAGGCCGCUGCAGCGGCCGGCUCCAGGCCGCCAACGGCGGCGGCGGCCAUGCGUGUCGGACCGCCGACUAGAAGGUCAACAUCGGCGGCGGCGGCGGCGGCGGCGGGGGCGCUGCCUCCCCCCGGAGUGCCCGGCAGUAGUCCUGAGUACCCCCCGGCUACUGCCGCGUCCCCUCCGGUUCCGGUGGCCAGCUACAGCCAGCUAGGACCCCGCCACCGGGCAGCGCUCUUCCCCGUGCUACCGCCCAACGUCCCCAGGAUGGUUCCGCCCGAGUUGCAGGGUGGGUUAUUACCGCCCGGUUGCCGUAUCCUGGUGUGUCGUACUGUCGUGUAGCACUACAUGGCCGUACAAGUAAGCUGACGGUAUUCGCGUGUGUUGCUGUGUCGUCGCAGUCAUCGUUCUUCUGCUGCGUCGGCCACUGUCCUGCGGCCGCGAAAUUGUGACAUGGAUUAGUUUGCUGUCUGUGUUUGUUUUUUCUGUUUCCUGUGGAAACGAAACGGGUUGUACGGGUAUUGCCGUACAAUUUCGUCCAACUGCCGUACAUCCAAUAUGCAGGGCAUGCUAUGGUCGGCCACCGCGUCCGGAUUUAUUGGCCCAUUGACAAGGUGUACUACUCCGGUACGGUGACGGAUUUUGACCCGAGAGCGCGACUGCCGUACCGCGUUGACUACGACGACGGCGACACAGAGCGAGUAAAUCUCAACAAAGAGAACUGGCAGUUGGACGAGCGAGACGGAAAGCGGCUCCCUCCGAGCCUCUUGGAACGCGUGAUAGCUGUAGCAGCAGCAGCGGCGGCGGCGGGGACUGUCGGCGCGCCGCAACUCGGUGCCGCCGCCAUCGCGGCAGCGGGGGCAACUACAACUGCAGCGGCAGCAGCAGCAGCAGCAGCAACAUCAGCGGCUGUAGCUGCCGCCGCCCCUGGCGGCGGCUCCGGCGGCAGCGGCGGCAGACGCCCAGCACCCGCAGGUUGCGUUCUACCCGCCGCCGACGCGGCUAGGCAGCUGCCGCCGUCGGCGCCGCCGCCGCCCCCAGUGGAUCCGACAGCGCAACGUUGCCCCACGGCACCCAAGAACGUGGGAACGGGAAAUGACUUCCCGGGCGGCCCGAGCAGCUGCGGCCUGGGGGGCCUUGUGGGCAACGGCGGCGGCGGCGGCGGCGGCGGGGAGGAGGAGCUGUGUCAAGCGUUGGCAGCGGCCGCCCCGGUGACGUCAGCGGCAGAGAGAGAUGGGGGCGGCGGCGCCGACGGCGGCGAUGGCAGGCUCGUCCAAGCCCGGCCGAGCAAGUUGCAGCUGCCAGAUCUUAACAAGCAACAACCGCUACAGCAACAACCGCUACAGCAACAACCGCUACAGCAACAACCGCUACAGCAACAACCGCUACAGGGGCCCUCCGGGGAAUCCAUACGCAGCCCGUACAGCCAGCCACUACAGCCGCUACAGCUAGAUGGCUCCGGAGAGGAGUUCGACGGUGGUGCCGGUGAUCACAAAACCCCGUGCGGUGGUACGACGGCGGUGUUGGAAGCGUACGGAACAGGUGCGAUUGCUGGUGGCAGCGCCGGCGGCGGCGAUGAUGAUGGCGGCGCCGGCGGCGGCGCUGGCGACGACAAGGAUGGUGACAUGAUGGAUGUCGGAAUUGUCGGCGGUGGUACGGCAACAGCCCGUACAAGGGAUGACGGGGAGCUCUGGUUCUCCGGCCUCCAGUUGGCGGAUCUUCCGGAAAGCGGGGAAGUACGGCAUGACGGCGGCGGCAUGCCCGCGGCCGCGCCAUCACCACAUCUGCCGUCGACGUCGACGUCAGCGGCGGCGGCGGCGGCGGCGGAUGGAAACAUGAUCGAGAGUCCUGACGUUGAGCCCAUUGAUGUAGUGGGCCCGGCGGCGGCAGCGGAUGGUACGACGAACCGUACGGCAACCAGGUCGGGAGAUCUCCUGCAAGUGGGCGUCAGGGCCCCUAGUAUCGGCGCCGUCGAUGUAGCACACGUGUACUUUGAUGGAGGCGGCAGCGGCGUCGCCGCCGCCGUUGGAACUGACGUCACGGAAGCUGCCGUACGCCGCCAGCAGCCCGGAUCGGCGACGCCGGAUGGUGACGUCCUGGAGGGGUCAGCGGCGGCGGCGGCGGCGGCGGGUGCAGGAGAAAAGAGAGAGGCCAUGCCGGCGGGUUCGUACGGCAAUGCGGAGGGUUUCUUAGUUGAGGAGUGGCGGGAGGAGGAGGAGGAGGAGGAAGGUGGGAACUUGGCGUUAGCGCAAAACACACACAUGGGGCAGGAUUCCUCCGGCCGAGGCGUCGCAGCGGCAGGAGAGGUGGCGGCGGCGGCAGCAGAGGAGGAAGAGGAAGAAGGGCUGCAACCCUCGCUAAGUAUCGGCGUCGACGGCAGCGUUGAUGACGGCGUCGACAGAAAGGUUGGGCGCAGCGGUGGCGGCGGCGGCGGUGGCAGCAGCGGGGGUGGCAGCAGCGGCAGCAGCAGCGGCGGCGGCGGCGGUGCUACUGCCGCCCAGCUUAGCGAGAGCGACAUUCACAGCUCCCUUGUGAAGGCUUGCAUGUGUGCGGAGGAGGACGAGGAGGCGGAGGAGGAACAGCAGGAGGAGGAGCGAGGUCAGGGCCACCGGGAAGGGCGUGAGUUCGAGGUGGAAGCGGAGGCGGCCGAUUCACCGAUGGCGGCUUCUGAUAGCGGCGGCGGCAGCCCCGCCGCUGCCGUCGCGGCCGCCACCGCCGCGGCGACGGCGGCGAAACGCGUUCAUCCGCAGGCUCUGUCCGCCGCCGCCGCCGCCGGCGCCGCCACUGACAGGGCAACUAAUCAGCGUCGCCCAUCGCUGGCGAAGAAGGCGGCGGCAGCGGCGGCGGCGGCGGCAGGUCGUGAGCUCGACGGGGCGAUGCCGGUGACGUGCAACUACAUCGACGCCUGGUUCCUGCUACGACAUAAACUAGUUGCUUGCGACUGUGUCGGUUGUCGUACACAGCCUGGGAGCGGCAAGAGGAUUUGCUGGACGCCCAUCGGCUUUGAAGAACAUGCAGGUCAGAGGCUGCUCGGAUAUGGCGAACUGUGUACGGCAUGUGUACGGCAAUACCUGUGGGCAUAGGGUACCGCGGAGCGACACAUACCAGAUACUCCUAGAUCUUAUAUACACAGAAUUGAUAAGCCAAAACUUAAAAUUGAAUGAAUAUUAUGUUGUGUUGUAUGUUGUGUGUAAGGUUUCGAUCAUUUAAAUAUUAUUGGUUGUUACAGAGUGGGAGGUAAAACUUUCUGGGGCGAUUGCGCACGUUGGAUAUAUUGAAGGUUUGAACACCACAGAGCGCCAUACACCAUAGCCACAACGAAUGUACUGCGUCGUACAAACUGUGCAAGUCCAAGGCGGUUGAUUCUGCUUUCUAGAUGCCUUCUCGUCCAGUCACCCGAACAUGUGGGAUUGGGGAAUCUUCAUAUCUUCACCCCCGUGCCGCCCCUACCGGUGGAUCCUGCCAGUGGGACACCCUCGCCUAGUCACCCUAGUCAAAACUUCUCAGUGGAUCGCUCAGGUUUCGCACCCACCACCAGCAUCCACAGAUUAUGACAGGUUGUCGAUGGCUCAACCUAGGUGAUCGAAUGAAAAGAAGUAAUCAGAAAAUGAACUUAUGCACCAGCCGAGAAUCGAACUCGGGUCUGGUCCGUGGCAAGGACCUAUGCUACCACUAUACCACUGGUGCAAUCAACUGCAUAUCGUGUGUCAGAUGCAGAAUUCGCACUCCAUUGCACUUCAGUCAUUCAACUUCCCCCUUAAAAACCCCACACGACGAUGAUAACUGCAACAACUACAACUACCACAUCCACCACCUCAACCCGUGGAGGCAUGAGAGCCAGCAAGAAAUGGAAGAACAGUAUCCGGAUGAGGCCAGGGGCGGAAGUGGAGGUGGUUCCGGAGCCUGGCCACCUGGGGGCCGGCGGCGGCGGCGGCGGCGAACCGCUCGGCGAGUGGUUGGACCGCCGCGGCGUUGUGGUGCCACCCAGCAAGCAGCGCCGGCGGGUGAUGGAGGCAGCUGAGGUGGAGCGCUGCGUUCUGGUGGGCUAGCUAGCUAGGGCGUUGGUUUGGUUUGGGGGGUUGGGUUAGUUUGAGGGUUUAAGACUUGAAGGCAUAAUCGCUGUUAGGUAAGUAUGUAUGUCGGAGUUGGCGUAUUUUUCCUGUCCCGUUUUUCCCUUACCUGGAUCUUCGUUCUGGAUCUUCUCCCUCGUACACAGCCCUCUUUCCACCACCUUCCUGACAUGACACAAUUUAUUUCUUCAUGUUGCUUUUGGUUGGCCUUUUAAGACUCACCCCUCCACGCCGCCUUGGGAAACACCCCAACCACCGCAACGACCCCAACCACCGCAACGGCCCCAACCACCGCAACGACCCCAACCACCGCAACGACCCUGCUCCAGGCUCCCAUCACGGGGGUCAGCAAGGUGUCGGCGGCCGUGGCGGCGCCGCCAGACACCACCGCCGCCGCGGCCGCCGCCGCCGCCGCUGCCAGGUUGGCCGCAGGCUCCAUUCGUCCAGCCAGCAACAUCAUUGCCGCUACAAGAAAGCCGGCGACGGCGGCGGAUACAGCUGCCGUACCACGGAAGCGAGGUCGAGACGUGGCGGCGGGAACGCCGCCGCGGCCACCGCCGUCACUGCCGGCGUCGGGAAUGGAAGGUGGGGCUGGCGGCUUCGGCAGCGUGCCUCCGCCACCGCCAGCCGUAAAGCGGAAUAAGUUUGAUGCGGCAACACAACCUCGUGCCAGCGGCGGCGGCNNNNNNNNNNNNNNNNNNNNNNNNNNNNNNNNNNNNNNNNNNNNNNNNNNCCGCCACCCCCGAGCACCAGAGCUGCGGCGAGACGGCGAUUGCCUUGGACCUGGAGGCCGACGACGUGGAUGUUGCCCCCGCCGCCGCCGCCGCCGCCGCCGCUGCCGCCGCCUCCGGCGGCACCGCGGCAGCCACCGCCGCCGCCGCCAACUACGGCGGGGAGGUCGUCAUCCGCGGCCCCGGAUACAAUGUGAGCGGGAGCGGGCCCAAGAACCCCUGGUACCCGAUAUCAAAAAGCGUGUUGUUUUACUUCGCUCAAAACCGACGCGGAGAUCUUCCUUCUUCCCUGAAAGCCUACAGGGCCAAUCUAUACGCUCCAAACUUUUGAAUACUUGUCGUAACGAAGACCUGUAAAUCUGAAAUUGUACGGUGUUCGUUCUAUUCCGCAGUCGUAGAAUUCUAAUGGAAAGCCGUCCUUGUUGCAAGAAGACAUUUUUUUUUCUUGAAAACAUUUUUUUGUUUUUGUCACAAAACUUGAUUUUGUUUCUUGUCCUGUUUCUUGCCCUCUUUCGCCGCGGCCCCCGGGGACCGCAGGUCCUCCGCUGCAGUGAUCCCCCCGGCUUUGAGGUGUUUUGCCUGGUGGCUGGGUACCUGGUAAGGAAGCCGUAAACGGAGGAGGAAUCAGGCGCUUAUUGUUAUGAUUUUCAAAAGUCAUGUGAGAUACAAGAUGAAAGGAAAAAAUGAGACAGAAGUCUGACGUUGCAUACCCUGUUCGAUUCCCGUGCAGAGCAAAGGGUCUCUGCUGGACAACAAAACCUUUUAAUCCUUGAAUAAAUCCAAUAGAGAUCCGAAACUAUCCUUAGCGCUGACGCCUCUCCCAACAGUGUCGCUUCACGGCAGGUUGUCAAGACAUUUUAGCGUCACGUUCAUUUUACCGUCUUUCCUACUUGUCUUAGUUGAUAUCAGUAUGAAUAUGAGUCUGCCGUACGCACGUGUUUUGUCGAUGCUACAGUCGUAUGACGCGACAAGCAUAUGUGACUCGCCCUCCCCGCCCUCGCCACCACUGUUCGACAGCUCGAGGAGGUUUCCGUACGAGCAUACGACUACGGCAAGGUCAUCAUUCAAGCGCAGCCGCGAAACUCCGAGCGUGCGGCCUUGUGGGGAAUAUCACCGCUGCGUCAUGUCGUACAACUGCCGGGUGCCGUACACGCAGAGAGCGCCCAGGCCCUCAUGACUUUACACGGCCAAUUGUACGUCAGAAUAAAUGCUCAAUAAUAAGACAGGCAAAGAUACGGCACGUCGGUUGCGAUAUCGAAAGUAAUAAUGAAAUGUGAAAGGGGGACGUCAGUAAAGCCAAGAAGUGAAGGUACUUGGGGCCCAGCUCCGGGCAACCCACCCAGCUCCGGGCGGAUCAACAGCAUUGUCUGAUGCAAUGUCAGGAGGUUUCUGCCCACCCCGAUAUGUAUUUGUGUAUGUGCAUUUGUAUGUAUAUGUGUACGUGUGUGAAGAUCUGUCGAAGCCAGCCGCGGGUGAGCGUGAGGUAGUGAAAGUGGCCUCGGGGGAUAUCCUCGCUUAGCCAUGUCCUGUCAAUCCACAGAGCUUUCAUAGCUAGCAGAGCGGGAGGGCAGGAGGGCAGGAGGAGGGCAGGAGGGCAGGAGGGCAGGAGGGCAGGAGGAGGGCAGGAGGGCAGGAGGGCAGGAGGGCAGGAGGAGGGCAGGAGGGCAGGAGGGCAGGAGGGCAGGAGGGCAGGAGGAGGGCAGGAGGGCAGGAGGGCAGGAGGAGGGCAGGAGGGCAGGAGGGCAGGAGGAGGGCAGGAGGGCAGGAGGGCAGGAGGGCAGGAGGAGGGCAGGAGGGCAGAAUGCUGAGAUGGUUCGUCGCAGUUGGCAAGGAGCAUCGGGAGAUGAAUGCGCCGUCACCAGCAACAGCAGGGGUAGCAACAACAGUGAAACCGGCGCUGCAUUACUUCGCCGUGCACUUCAUGUUUGUGUGGUCCGGGUGCGGGCUAGGUAGGGGCCCUACUAAACCCUAAAACCCUAAAACCCUAAAACCCUAAAACCCUACAGUAGGAUCCAUGGUCCAUGUAAUAAGGAGCGUGAGAAGCGGAGGAUAUCUGGGCCCUGUGUCGACGGGGUCCUGCUACCUACUCCGUCAGCGGUACAACACAGCCAAAUCAAUAAAAUGGCCGUAUACCUGUGGGCAUGUAGGACUCCGGGCUUUUUGAACUCCUUUUUGGACUCGGAAUCCAGAAUUAACGAAAACUGCUGCAUAUCAUUCAGAGAUGGAAAGGAAACAAACUGGGAUUUCCUUUUUGGUAAUGGUGAGUGAAUAUAGCGGGAAUACAGCCAUCCUUGAAAAUCCUCCCUUGGAGAAUUGAAAUCUUAGAAGAACCUUCAAGGGCUGGUGGAACUCUGUUAUGAGCAUUCCGUUACUUACUGAAUGACGUAGUAUACUUAUUACUACUACUUGUAACGCAUAGGCGGAACAACUCCUGCCGUACUAUCGUACAGUCGUACCCAAUCAGGGGUAUAUCCUUCCUCCGGUUACUUCCGUCUAGGCGGACAUUUGGUUGUCAGUCAAAAACCAACUAGCUGUUAUACAAUCUGUUAUAAACGUUUCCGCUUUAUUAAUACUCGCAUUUCAUCCUACUCCUCGUUACAAACUCGACCAUAACAAUAACUGCUGCUUCACUUUAUGAACCUGAUAUGUACUACCUGUGUGCACGUGGGCACCGCCCCACGAUAUCCAUUUGGCGCGCGCCAUAUCGCGGGGAAGUGUGAUGUGGGUCCCAUAUGGGUUCAAAGGAGUUCACCUUCGUACGUACGUUGCCCUGGCCAACACACCAUGACAGCAUCAGCACCCGGUAGUCGCUCGGUAGGUCGACCCCCACUGCGGCCACAGACAGCAAAACACACAGGGUGUGGGUGUGGGUGUGGGUGUGGGUGUGGGUGUGGGUGUGGGUGUGGGUGUGGGUAGGGGUCAGCGCGUUUGGGCUAGUGUCCGUUUUGGUACUGUGUGUAGUGUAAUGGCAUCAGUUUGCCUUCGGGUUGAAGUUGUGCGCAGUGUGCUGAUUGUGUAUAGUUGCUCGGUUUCUGUGUUUUUGUACUGAGGGCUUUUAGUCGUUGCUCUUGGUAUUAUUGGGUGCCUACAUGUAUCGCCGGUUACUUAGUCCGGACGAGGUACGAGUCGUGCGCCACUUUUAGGCCGGUUUUCAAUGCGGGGAAGGUUUUUGCCUUGUCUCCGGUUUCCCUCUUCCCUUCCCCUCGUUCGCCUGGUACCGAUUUCGUUAAGGGGUUCGGAGAGGCUUUGGCCGUUUAGUGCUUUCCCUUCGCACCACGGACGGUGCUCAUUCCGAAAAAGGGGGAUAUGUAAUUUUUCGAAGUUAGUUGGCGAACUUACGGGACUCGUGUUAGGUCUUGUCUUAACUUCGGAGCUAGCGGAGCUAGGACUACGGCGUGUGAUGUUGAUGAUCGCAAGCUUGACCAUAUGUGUAACGCCGCUAAGGCGGCCCUUGGCUCACCGGGCCAACGGUCAUCGUCCCAAGCAGGCAUAGCUAUUAACAUUGAAAGCCUAAGUUGAUUUAGAAAAUCCCGAUUCUCUUGGCUUACGCCAGUCUCUCGGCAAGUAAAGUCAGCUUACGCUUCCCAAUUGUUUAGGAGCGGUCCGGUUCCUUUUCACAACUUGCCGCCUAUACAAACGUUAUAACACAGGAGGUGCGGUUUAGACAUAAGGGCUUCGCCUGUUUAGAGAUGUACCGAGCCCUAAACUGCAAUUGUGAUGAAGGCUUAACCGAGCGUAGCUUAUCAAAUAUAUAACAUGGCUUCAUUUGUGCGUCCUCUCAAUCAUGCUUGCGUCAUGAUUUACUCGCCAUAUAUAUGGCAGUGGUGAAGGUAAAAUUGUAUGACAAAUUCGUCUCAUAAGAACCAUGGAAAAGGCAAGCGCGGUAAGAAAAACAUUAUGCUCGCCGGAUUGAGCCGAAGAAUCACCAUCCACGCGGAUAUAAUUUGUGAAUGAUCGACAUGAAGAAUGCGGCCCAUGGACGGGCCCUCCCGGGCGCCACGGCCAGCAACAGACGAAAAAGGCUUGCACUCCAUGUCUGAAUUAAUGAAUUCGAAACAGUUCUUCCAAUUGCUUUGACAAAGCCUUCGCAAAAGAUUGAACCUGGCAAUGACUGAAGAUCGUAAAUACGUUUUGAGAUGGUCAUACCUAUUAUCUGAUACCUAUUUUCAGUACGAUAACUACAUUUUGCUAAGUGCUGCUGUGUAUCUGGCCAAGGCCUUUUCCAGUACGACUGAAAAGAUUACGCGCAGCCUCUCACCAAUGCCGUAAUGGCCAAGAGAAUUCACACCAAGAACCUCGUUUUUUGCAAGUUCAAGUGAAGAUGUUACAACAAUAUCAAAAAUGGACAAGUAGGGUGUCGGCUUCCUUGAAGCCAUGAAAAAGGCGGUGCCCACACUGAAUCCGUACAUCCAGGUUGAUUAGCUGCACGGACGGCAAAUCCUGAUGGGGAGUUCACCUCCCAACCCCCAACCCUCCCCCACAUCAUCCAUUGAAAACAUCCUCAGUCGGGGGAAAAGGGAGGAAGAAAGCCCAGCGCGAAAAGGAGCAAUUGCUACUGCUUGCAUUUGAACACGUACCUACCCCUUUCCCUUCCUUACACUCACUCAGAUGACUUCCUUAUGGGGGAGGGGAGAGUCCCACCCUGCUGCGGUCGGCAACGCAAGCACUGUAGCCCAUAACCUCCCACGACCUCCUUGACCCUCAGUUAGCAGGGAGGGAGGCGAUUGAAUCGCGCGAUGGGGUCGGAUGCACAGCGGGCUGCGGCAAUUGCGAAGGGUCGCGAUGUGGGCGCACAUGGGCCACGGAAAGUGCAUUUAAUUAAUCAAGCGUUCCUUAGUAGACCACCUUCCGGGUGUGUUAUUCAUUUCAAAGUGCCGCCGGGUGGCGAAGGUGGGCGCCCCACAGCAGUCAGCAGACAGAAUUAUGUAGCUCAUGUUUCCCAAGGAAGGAAAAUCUAGAGUGUCGUUGGGGAAAUGUUAUCAUGUUUAUAAAUUAUGGUGGUAGUAGUAGUAGUACUAAUCGUAAAAAUAAUAAUAGGGGAAAUAAUAAAUAACAUAUUUUUUAAUUCAGGCCUUCCUUAAUUCAGGCUGGCUAUAGUACGCCUGAGUAGCCAGCCUGAAUAGACCUGAAUUAAGGAAGGCGUGCAUGUAUUACGGGGCGCCGGGGAUGGACAUGUUAUGGAUAUGUUCCCCUCUGCCCUUUAUGUGCACCUCCCUCCCGCCAUCGUCUUCGGUGGUGAGAUGGCUGUUCGUACUGUAAACGGCAUUGGCCGCCGCCGCCGCCACCACAGCAGCAGCAGCAGCAGCAGCGGUGAUAAUUCUGCGCUGGCUGGCAAAAACGACAUUCGCAGCUCCCUUGUGAAGGCUUGCAUGUGUGCGGAGGAGGACGAGGAGGCGGAGGAGGAACAGCAGGAGGAGGAGGAGCGAGGUCAGGGCCACCGGGAAGGGCGUGACUUCGAGGUGGAAGCGGAGGCGGCGGAUUCACCGAUGGCCGCGAGGGGAGUAUCGGCAUCCACGGCGAUAUUUGCAUGCUGCGUUGACGGCAAGCUUGCAGCUGCCUCUUCAGCGGCUAUAAAGUACGGCCACAUGCAGAUGGUGCGCCGCCGCAGCCGCCGCAGCCGCCAGGGCGGAAGCAGCCGUGGAAGUUGCAACCGCGGCUUGUGAGGUCGAUGCACGUGUUGUGCAACUAUGCCCAUGUUUGAUUCCUGUUGCGGCACUUUAGUCGGUGACUUGUGACUGUGUCGGCUAUGUGAAUCAGCCGGCGAGCAGCAACAGGGUUUAUCGGGAACCCGCGUCUGGGACGGCUCAUGAGCAGGGGGCUCACGAUGCUGGCCGGGCUGCUGGCUGCCGAUACAAGUCCACGGUUCAAGGUUUUUCCAAAAGCAGGUUCCGUACAAGUGCGGUGGCGAGAUAUCCAUAAGAGCCCGUUGGUCCAUAAGCCCAUGGGUCGGUCUGGGUCGGUCUGACUCGGUCUGGGUCGGUCUGACUCGGUCUGUGUCGGUGUGGGUCGGUGUGGGUCGGUGUGGGUCGGUGUGGUUCGGUGUGGUUCGGCUUAGCCGGUCUCUUGUGGGUCAGUGGCUCGGUGGGUCAAGGUUGAGUACCGUACAUACCCAUUGCAGUUUAUUCAUCCAGCCCCAUCCCCUCGAGACCUCUCACUUUUUGACUUUUUCUCCUCCCCCUGUAGCUAGGGUAUGUGCGGCCAUGCGGGCAUUACAAAAACAUGAUAUGUAGCCAAACGAGCGCUACUGCGCACAUGGACGACAUGGGACUGAGACGACAAGGGAAAAACGUGUGUGAGAGAGACGGACGUCAUUGGUCAACCGCAAAACAAGCGGCUGCAGGAAGAGUGUGAACCUGUAAAUGCUUUGUGGAGUUCAGUCACCUCUUAAGUUCCAAGUAUGUCAUUCGAGGGGGAUUAGGAGGUUGUGCGGUUGUGAUCGAAAAAGUCACCGGAUCCGUUCGGGUUCACCAAUUACAACGGUUCUAUGCGGCUUAUAUAGCACAGUGGCAGCAGCAGCAGCAGCAGCAGCGCGCGCGGUAACAUUUUAGAUCCAGGAGGGAGGGUAUUUCAUAAGGGCUGUUGUUUGCUGCAAUGUACGGAAAUGUAGUACGGGUGCCAGCCUCUGCGGAACCGACCCAUUCCCAGCGCAUCCUAGACUUAUAGCGAAGGUGUUCGUGCCUAUUAUUUGUGCGUCAUGCAAUGCAACAUGCACGAGAGUAUUUGCGUCGCAUUUCGGCCGCAAUGGCACCCUGGAACCCAAGGAUACGCCAAUGGAUGGGCGUAUGUAUGUAUGUAUGUAUGUAUGUAUCUCGGUCGAAAAACGCAAAUGUGACACCAAGGGGUGAAGGAAACCCCGCCGUCUGCCUUGUAAUUCUUGUAAUACAAAGUGUAGGCCUGUUUCGUUUCCUUCGUUUCUUAGUUUAUCAGUUUACUUUGAAAUAUAUUUAUUUUGACUGUCUGGUGUCAUGACGGGUGAAACUUUCGUACAGGGGCACCGAACAGUUUAGCGGCUAGCUAAGCUCUUGAGGUUGACCGCAGGCUCAGGUGCCAUGCGGGGUCUUUUUUCCCGCACCUUGAUUGGGCUGACCAUUCCUUUUCUAGGCAGUAGAAGUGGAAAGAGCUAAACCCGAGGUGAUCGGCAGAGGAAAGGACGAUUCGCAGCUGGAUGGGGAAAAGUGGUUCGAUGCCUUGGCAGGUAGUUUUUCGCUGUGAUGCGGUUGGCAUUUGGGCAACAGGUGGGAAUGGUCUGGUAAUAGGUCGUCCGCCGGUUACGCGAGGGACUGGGCAAACUGGUGCAAAGACAUCGUGUCGUGUCGGGCUUUCUUACGUGAUGUACUGUUUCCACCUAGCUUUGGAAGGGUUUGCGGCGCCAUUUCUCUGCGCCGGUUGGGUUUUACAGAGCCAUUAGGAUAGGUAAUCUCAAAUUUUACCCUCUGAAUACAUGAUAGCUGUACAAUUUAUACGCUAUAAUGGGGCCAUGGUCAAAGUUCUCGCGAACAGAAAGACUUUGGUCCGGAACCCCAAGGUGUACUGAAGGUUGGGCGGUUGACAAGAAACACCGGAACUGGAGCAUCCUCGGAGCUACGAGCUCGGCCAUGAGAUCGGCCACUAGCUUGGCCAUGAGCUCGUUCUGCCCGUUGCCAUGUCAACAGAAGAAUGUGCUGGCCUGGGCUUUAACAUUUGCUGGGCAAUUUCAUGACAGGCUUCUGAAACUAAUAGGUUAUAUUCCCUCUUCUACGUCUCAGCGCGUGCACGUGCGCCUGAAGAAUGCCGGUCUCUACUGUUUACGUGAGGCACGCGCGUAGGGAGAAGACGGCGCGUUCCUAUAGUGUGUUGUGUGUCAAUAUCGCGCGUCAACAACACCUUUCCAGUAGAGAAUCCACACACAAAAACAUCGUAGCAUGACACGAACUGCAAGGAACUGAUGUUGCCGUAUAUAACGGUCUUCCCCGGUGUGUCCUCAUUGAGUAUCGUUCCAAACACUUGGCCUAUAGAAUCUGAAUAAUCUUGCAUGUAGCCAUGGGCACAGCUGAGUAGCGAAGGAUUAUGUUAACAGCGAUUACGUACUUCUAUUUGUAAGCGGUGUACACACGCCAUCCUAACGCGAACACGCAAUUGAGCUAUAUGGAGUAUGGGUAUAGGCUUGACAUCUUAUUUGGGCUUCAACAUGAGUGUUCUCCUAAAUCUUAAGCUGACAAGAAUAUGUUUUUUGAGGACCUGCAGCUGAACCUUUUUCACGAUGCAACAGUUUGCUACCAUGAAAAUAUAAACUUUACGUGGUGGAUUUCCCCCUCUAAUCGACCGUCGAGGUGAGGUAACCAUUUACUUGGACCUUUUACUCCUCGUCGGACGCGCACAGCUUGAUGACUGUGCUGACCAAGGCAGGAAAAGACAUACCAAUUGCGAUAAUUUAUUUUUGUAAACCUGACAAGGCUAUAUCUUGCGUCAUGAAUUCGGCGCUUGUAGUGCUUUGUCACAUUACCCGUUCCUGACAAAGAAUGCGUUCUUUGCGUCACGAUCCCCUUGUCAGGUUUUGAAGCCUCUACUGGUAUGGCGCCCUCGGGCGCCGGGCUCUAUCCUGUGGGCUGCUUGCUCCUUUGGUUGCUUGCAGUCCCGCGUUGGGCUCGCGCCGAAGCCAACGUGACUGCACCAGCCGAUACUGGGUGCAUCAGUAUAGACAAUGAUAUUGCAGAAGCAAUCAAUUCCUCAAUGUCGCAGCCGAACGUCACCCUGGGACCCGGCUGCCACAUCCUCACGCACAACUUUGCAUGCACGCCAAUCCAAAACUCGUUGGUCAUAACCGGCGCUGGAGCAAACGCUAGCAGCUGGGACACGGACUUCGGCUUGUACCAGUUUUCUGUGGAGCCUGGUGAGCAUUGCUGACCGGGGGGAAGCUGGUGUCCGCGGCUCCCUGGGCCUCCCUGGGCCUCUGUCUACAUCGCUCUCUCUACACGAACCUGCUGCCUUGGGGGGUAACUCCACAAUCCCCGUUUCCCCGCAUUCCACACGUUCUUCUGUCCCACUGUGCGUCCCACUGCCACGGCUCACCUCUCCUUUACCCCUCCCCGCCACAUUGCACAUCCAGAUCAUAUACCACAUCAUAUACCACAUCAUAUACCACAUCAUAUCCGUCCUCCCCCCCGUUGCCCUGCCCUUUACGGCCCGUGUGGAAUUCAUUCCUGACGCCUGGAGCCUUGCAACCCCUGGCCCCCGGUCCCCUCUCCAACAGGAGUGGUGGUUACUCUCAAGGACUUGGUUUUGGAGCGUGCGCUGGUGUUCACAGCCGUAGACACGGACCUACAACCCAUUGCCAGAGAUGCCGAGCUGGCACUGCAGCCAUCCAUAUUCCACAUGCGGCAAGGGAGCCGCUUGGUGCUGCAGAAUGUCACUGUGCAGACGCGGUGCUCCACGCUGACUUACUAUUGGAAUCGGGUGCCCGGGUUUCAGGUAAGGUUGAUAAUAAAAAUACUCGCACACCCCGCCCAGGUAGAGACACCAGAAGGGGCUUUUGUACAACGUUUGGUUUUGAGAACGGUAUUUUCCGCGUUUUUUUCUGAUCUGGGUUUCGGAGCCAUCAGCCCCUGGGAGGAUGCGUGACCCAGGUCCCGCGUUGGUGGACAACCCAGAUGGGUUUCGGAGAGCCAACGACAGGUUCUUGUGGAUGAUCAGGCGGAUCGCAGCAUCGUGCCCCUCCGGAAAAGAGCUCUAGCCGCAGCGGUGCGCGUUGGUCUGCUUUCGGACUGGAUGCGUAGGCAUGGAAAGUCAUCCAUCCAUCCAUCCAUUCCUCUCUCCUGGCUUGGUGUGCCUGCCAAUGCGCAGUGGGGUUUCCUAUCUUUCAUUGCAUUUCACCCCCGGGGUGGGGGAGGACUGCGAGUCGCGGGCUUUUCCACACCGCCCCUAUUGAAGACAUGCGUCCCGUAACACGUCCUCCUGUUGUUGCUGCUCCUGUUGCUGCUGCUGCUGCUAUUGCUUCUGUGCUUCCUUUGCCCCGCAGCAUUCUUCAGCUCAACUCAUGCCGCCGUUGAUGUUCGCUAACGCCACCCAUGGCGCUGUGACGUUGCACAACGUCUCAGUCCGGUGCGACCAGGGCCUGGAACCCUCUGGUCCUGUGGAGCUCUUCGUGCACACCGCCCCAAUGCUACGGGCUUUCAUGGCCGCUGCCAGCGCGCUCUCCAUUAGCACCACAAUCAACAUCAUGGAGAAUCUGACGCUGCCGUAUGUGCCGUGGCCGCCAAGCAAUGCGGAACCUGCGGAUCAGCGGGAUGGGUUGGCGACGGCGGACACGUUCAUCGUCGGCAGGGAGCCAGGCGCGGAAUUAGGCAAGAUUACUUAUGUAGACGCCAACUUCACGGCUGCGUGGCUAACGGUGCAGAGCCCCGCGCGUCUGACGCUGCGACGGCUCUUGCUCACACGGCUUUACACGACGGUCGUGACACCCGGAGGCGGCAAGGGAUUGUUGGCGGGUGCGCUGCCGCUUCCGAUGGUUCAGGUCACUGGCACGCCCGCGCAGCCGUCAAGGUAUUUCGAGGAUGUAACGCUUGUCGUACCGCAGUACGAAGUUACGGAAAUGACGUACUGGUGCAUCAUGAUCAAUGUGGGCACUCCGGAGGUUAAAGGUGUUGCGGAUUUUCUUCGACCGUACGUUUGGCCCACCGAGUUUGACGUGUUGGGUUCAACACAGCUGUACUUGAAACGCUUGAGGACCGCAUCCAGUAUGUUCACCCGGGUGAUGCUUACGAGCCAACCUCCCGCCGGCGUCCCAUUCGAAGACUCGGAGCCGCCGGCAACCGUUGCGUCGUACCAGCAUGUCCAACCGCCGUUGUACAUCGUCACCAAGGGCAAUGACUGGGCGGAUGCAGUGGCACCUGUUCUUCCGCAGGAUACGGGGUCAACGGCAGGUGGCUUGGCGGCGGCGGCGUCGUACGACGCCGCCAGCGGCGGCAGCAGCAGCAGCAGCUCGCCUUCUUUACCAGUGCUGGUGCUUGUGAACGGCACGGUGACGUUAACUCCGUCGGACGUGCAGGUGUCACGGUACGGCGGCGGUGCCCGUGUCGUACGGCGCAGCGUAGUGGUGGCGUCGAUGCGACAGGGGUGCGGCGGCGGGGGCGGCACAGAUGCCGCCGCCUGUCCGCCUGCAGUUCUGGACUUGGCUGGUAUCACGGAUGCCAUGCGGCUGUCGGGUCUCACCACCACCGUGGUUUUCAUGGGUGUCACAUUGCGCAAUGUCUCCUCCGCGUUGAUUGAACAGACGCUGGGUGCGAAGAACGCGGACCUGGGCUCCAUUGGAGGCUUUUUCAUCUUCAACAGGUUUGAGCGGGAUUCGAACGGGGGAUUGGUGGCCCUGGGCGAUGGGUUGUGUUGUUUCGUGUUCCCGUCGUGUGUGUACGCGGUGCCGUCCAUCUCCAUCCUGUGCCUUCUUGCCAUUCCUCGAUUUAUACCUCAAAACGGCGCAGGAAAAACAAUUUAGCGGAAUAAGCAGAAAGACGUUUCUUACGUUCCUUGCGAAUACAUACGUACUUGUGACGGACAUUUCCUUCAGAGCAGAGAACGCGUAAAAAUACGUAAAGAGAGUAAAUGGAAAUGGGAAGUGUUGCAUCUUGAAUGGAUGGCCUGUACUUCUUGUUGAUGGGGUGUUACACUGUGGGCGGCUCGUCCCCUCUUGUUGUUGUUGUUGUUGUUGUUGUUGCUGUUACAGCGGUGGGCUACCCAGCUUCUAUGUCUGGGAGCAAAGAAGCCAAGAGCCAAAGGGCACAUCGCCUGACGCUGCCGCUACUUGUGUUGUGUGCGCAGGUCAACGGUACGGCUGUCCUUUGAGUCCGUCACAGUGGAGCUGAAAGCGAGUGCCUUUGCCAUCCUGCUCAGAGUCGCAAAACAGAAUCCGCUUGGCGGCAGCACCGGUGCGGGGGCGCUGGUUUUUGCGAGGGGAGGGGAGGGGAGAAAAUCUUCUGCAAGGAUUUGCAUUUGGAUUUGCAUUGUUCUUCCUCCGCCAUCCCAUUUUUUACACGCGCCCUCACCCCAGCUUGCCAUGCCACGGGAGUGGAGUAUCGCGGCUGCAGCCGUGCACGCGCACGGUCACCUCGUCUUUGUCUCUAAUUCCUAUGACCCAUCGCCUGCAAAGCUCCUUUGCACUUCUGGGCGGUAUCCACGCGCCCAUUAUGGUGGAUUUACGAAAGGAAAAUCACCAUAAAUGGAUAAAUUUUAGAUAAUAAUACUACAAUAAUAAUAAAAAUAAAUAACAAAAAAUAAAAGUUUAUUCGUACUUGUUGAAUUCGUACGAUGAAUGAUGUCUCAAUGCACUGUCCAACUUCGGGUCUUUAAUAAAAUAUACGAAAUGCAGGUGACCUCGUCGUGAUAGACGCCACUGACAGCCUCAUACAGCUGGCGAGCUUCCAAUUCGGGGGAGUGCGCGGGAGCUUUGUGAACUUCACGAAUGCGGGCGGCCGCGCUCCAGGACCGACCGCGCUCGUACAGUCCGCCGCCCCCGGAGGCGGCGGCGGUAGCGCCGCAAGUGGUGCCGUACCAGUUAUAGUGGGCGCCGUCGUCGGGGGCAGCUGCGCGCUGCUUUUGGCUGCAGGCGUCGUGACGUGGCUCGCGCGGGCCCGGCGGCGGCGAGCUGAGUCGGGCGAUUUGCCUUCGGCGGGGGAGGGCAGCGCAGAUGGCAAGCACGGCGAUUCUCGUACUGCUAGCAAGUCGGCGGCAGCCGACGUGUCCUUAGAAGGCAGCGGGGCGAGUACUUGCAACGUGUACGGCAGCACUCAUCAUGUACGGACAGGAGAGGGGAACGGGAGCGGCGGCGGAGCCACCGCUGCCGCUGCAGCCGCAGUGGCGCAUGCCGCGGCCGUGGCGGCGGAGGAAGAAGCGUCUGCCGUUCGGCCGGGCCCUUGCAGCCAUAGCAAAGCCUGCGAGGAGGGGAGUCCGCAAUGUACGACUUGUACGGCUAGCGACCUUAACAGCAGUGAAACGACGACGACGCCGCUGAUGGGAGUGAUGUCGCAGUUGGCGCCGGCGUUGCCAGUGCCGCCGUUGCCGCUGGCUAUGGGUGGCACUUCUGCGCAGAUGCAGCGCCACGUCUUCUCCGUGUCUCGAUCGGAGUCUGCAGGGGAGGUGGCAGCGGGAAGAGCUAGCAUGGAUAUCAGUAUCGUAAGAGGCGACGACGGAAGCGCCUGCUCUACGUCAGCGAGCGGCGUCGGACGGCGCCUUCUCUUAGAUGCACCCGGAAGCGGCGAAGUCGCGGCAGGGGCGAUUGCGGCGGCGGGUGCAGUCACCACGCGAUGUGGCUCCAGGCUGCUGCCCAACCUGUUAGACUCGGCACCGGAGGCAAGCGGCCGCGGUAGCAUUGGCAGCGGUGGCGGCGGAAGCGGCGCCUCGGCGCGCCGAAUAAUCUGGACGCCGUCGGGCGGGAGAUCGCACUUGUACGGCAUGGGGGAGGCAGGACGGUCGGCGUCGGGGUUGCGAGUACGAGCAGCGCUAGGUCGGUCGCCGUCAAGGCCGGCGCGUUCCGUCACCAGCAGCAGUGCCAGCGGGCCGUCCGCUACACUGCCGGCGCCUCAGCCCGCCAUGCUUGUGGCGCCGCCGUCGCCGAGUACGACAGCGCCGCCGUCGAUUGCAACGGCCCCGGUGGCUUCGGGCAGCUCGACGCGGUACCACGCCCACAGUCACUACUUACGGUCGCAACAGGGUAAUGCGGUCCAGCGGCGGGAGGGCUCGACACCGACGCUUGUCGGCGGCGGCGGCAGCGUCGUCGGUGUGUCGGGUUGCGGGGAGCCUGGCGCCGGCGAAGGUACGGCAUCGCACUCGACGCAGCUCAUGGCGACUGGCGGGACGCUUGACCCGCUGCUGGGUCAAACCUUGGACGCGGAAUGUGUCUCGCCUGGGCUCUCAAUGUCGAUCUCGAAGGUUCCGGAGCCGGCAAGUGAGGUACAGCGACUGAUUCAGGAGCUGACCAUGCACGGCACGGAUCAGCUGGUUAUUUUGGAGCCGAUAGGCCAAGGCGGUUACGGCAUGGUGUACAGAGGUACGGCAUUGGAUCCGUACGACAAUAAUUUUACGCAGGGACAGUGCUUUUGGAAUGAAUGAAAAUCUGUGUGCGCCAGCUUUUCGGGCGAAUAAACUGAAAGGUACUUUUCUAAAUACCUUACUAUCUGGGACUUGCACUAGUACUAACCUGGUGCGAAAGGCCAAAUUUGUGAGGACUUGUAUCGCAUGGGGUUGCGCACGCCGGCUUUUCAUCUUGGGCUCACAUCCGUGCUGUGUGUGUUUUCCUUUUCCGUACACCACCCCACCACCAAGCAUGGGCCACAUUUCCUCAUCACGGCUCAGAGAUCGUCAAAACCACUUUGCCGUACAUUUGCACAGGCGUCUGGCGCAAUCUGGACGUGGCCGUGAAGACGAUCUUGUUCCAGAACCGAGCCCACAUGACCCAGCCGCAGCUUUGUUGCCCGCUACCCACGUGCAAUCCCAGCACCGGCCAAACGGUGCAAACGUCGGUCAUCCAGGAAGCGGAGGAGGGCGGUCAAAAGGUUGGUGUCGAUAUAUGGGCUCCGGUUUGUGGCAUCGCUUUGUGCACGUGUCCUUUCCGCCGCCCCGCAAAAAAGCCGUUGCCGCCCCGUUUGCCGCCUCCGCAAAGCGCCUCCGCGGUUGGUGUCUGUCCUUACACAUCCAAAACGCUUUGACGUCCACCAUUUCGAUGUCAAUAUGUCAACAUGGCUCCGGAGUCCUCGUUUCCACCAGACGUGUGCGGCCCCACCAGCGCAGCCCUUUUUGUACUCAUUCCUCCUCCACCUCCCCCUCCUAGCUCGCCCGCGCCUCUUCCCUUCCCCACCAUGCCCUGGCCUUCCUUAGUCCAAUCCCGGAGUAUCCGUGUCUAUAUCCGGUAUCUGCUUCACUCGUUUUCCGUGGUUCGUCUUGCCCACCUCCCUUAGGCGUGCUUCUGCUCACAGCCCGGGAGUAUCCACCUCAUCCCCUCGCACACGUCCCCCCCGACGGCGCCCAUGGCGCCCACGAGCGGCGCCUCGGCGGCGAACUGGGCGGGGACGCCGGCGGCGACCGGAACAGCCGCCGGGCUCGGGCUCGGGCUCGGGGCUGCAGCCGCUGGUGGCGGUGGUGGCGGUGGUGGUAGGGAUGUUCACGCUAGCGGAGGUGGAGGCGGAGGCAGCACUCAUAAUUGGACAGUUGCCAGUCAGCAGGCGGCCAACAGCGGCAGCCUGCCUAGUGUGAGCGUGGCGGGUGAGUGAGUGCAAGACACCUCCAUAUUCCGCUGCAUAGCAUGGUGUGAAUUGUUUUAUAUGUUUACACACAAUAUGUAAAGCGAGGCGCCGCGCCGCCGCCGCCGCCGCCGCCGCCGGCCCCCGUUUUGUUGUCAUCAGAGUCAUGCAGGGAGCCCGGGCAAUCAAAAUUUGGCUCAUGUUGGUUUCGGAGCCCUCGUCGGUGUCGGUGUGUGUGUGUUCGUGUUUCUUCCGGGAUCCGGGGACGGGCAGGCGACUAACGUCUAACCGCCUCCCAACGGCCUCAUGGUUUUAGGAUCUUCUAAGUUUCCAUGGCGGCUUUUAUGCUGCCGUGGCACGUUGAGUAGUACCAAGGCUUUAAACACGGGGGUGCUUUCGGGUAUAUCGGACAUGCGGGUGAACACUAGGCAUCGUCCCCCGUAUCUUUGGGUACGCUGAUCAUGCUUCGCAUUUGCAUGGCAAGAAUCGCAGAAUAAGGUUCGCAGGUUGCUGCUCGACUCCUCCAGUUGCGCUCGCAUCCAUCAUCUUCCCUCAGUGGAAUCUGUUAACUGUUAACGAGUCCUAGUCCUAGUCCUAGUCCUAGUCCUCGGCAUGUACAUGAAAAGCUCAGAGCAGCGCCCACAUACCCACGUGCGCGCGUGCGCGCGUGCUCUCCUCCACCCUCCACUCCCCUCCACUCCCCUCCACCCACGGACGUAUGCAGGAGGAACAGGAGGCCCCCUUGGCGUGGCGUCGCAGCAGCGCGCCGUGUUGGAGGCCGCCGUGAGCUGCUCCGUCACCCACCCGAAUGUGGUCGCCACGUACCACUAUGACAUCACGCCCGUACGACCAUCGGGAGUGGUGUGCUCGGGGGGGCUGCUGGUAAGCGACGGGAGCUAUCUGCGGGCUGCAGCAGCAGCAGCGGCGGCGGCGGCGGCGGCGGGGGGCGGCGGCGGCGGCCCCGCGGGUCUUCUUGGCGGACCCGGUCCGGCCGCGGUCAGCGACUGGAAACUCUACUUGGUGCAGGUGGGGUGGUGGUGGUGGUCUAGGAGCUUGGAGAUGUCUCUAUAUUGUUUAUGUGGACUAUAAUAUAGUCCACAUAAACAAUAUUGGACAAUACUUGGUGGGUGAUGUAGAUUUAGUUGGCGAUGUGCCGUGGUCCUGUGUUGUGUAGUGCAGCAGACGGUGCGUUUCCCGUCGCACAGCAGACGAGGAAACGUUUUGUAUUUCUUCCUUCUGCUGUUUAUCUGCUCUGUGUGUGUGUGUGUGUGAAGGGAGGGAGAGAGGAAAAAUGCGGGGGGCCCAUGUGAGUUGGUUUCGUGGGUACAGCAGCACUCUGAGACGUGUCUUCUAGCUUCCUUCCUUUCUUCGUCCUUCGUCCUUCGUCCUUCGUCCUCCAUUCAUUCGUCCUCCAUUCAUUCAUUCGUCCAUCCAUCCACCUCUCUCCUGCUGGCGCUCCGCCGCGCUCCUGCCGCCAACCCCCGCCCGCGGGGCCCCCCCCCCCCAGGAGUUCUGUGACGCGGGAUCGCUUGCCAACGCAUUGGACGCACGAGCCUUCCACGACCCGGCUGGGAUGCCUAACCUGGUGCGUAUGUAUGUAUGUAUGUAUGUAUGUUGUUUGUUUCGUUGUUCGUUUGGAUGCAUGCAUGCAUGCAUGCGUGCGUGGAUGCCCGUAAGUGCGAGGGCUUUUUACGGUUAGCCAACUUUGGGGCAGUUUUUUUCAAAAAAUGCAGUGGCCUCGCGGGCAGUGGCCGUUGCACAGCCGCCAUCUCACCCGCAAGUAGUAAACAGCCGCAAUAGUGCAGAUAUAUAUAUAUAUAUAUAUAUAUAUAUUAUAUAUAUAUUAUAUAUAUAUAUAUAUUAUAUAUAUAUAUAUAUAUUAUAUACCUCUAGUUUUUCCCCUUUGUGGAGUCUAUAUAUAUAUAUAAUAUAUAUAUAUAUAUACCUCUAGUUUUUCCCCUUUGUGGAGUCUAGGGGCUGCGGAGGAGUUAAGAGGAGUUUCCCUGCACGCAUCUGGUUCGCUCCUUUCCAUUCUCCAUUUCUUCCUGUCCAUGGUUUUGCCUAGUGCCUCCUCGUAUUUACCCGCACACAUGUACUCACACAUACAUACACAUACAUACACAUACAUACACAUACAUACACAUACAUACACAUACAUACACAUACAUACACAUACUCACACAUACAUACACAUACAUACACAUACAUACACACACACGCGCAACGCAGCACAACACAACACAACAAAACUCUUCGCCCCUCGCAGGCCCUUACCCUGUGCGCGCUGGCGGACAUUGCCCGCGGCAUGGCGCACAUACAUUCGCGAAGCAUCGUACACGGCGACCUCAACCCCACCAACAUUUUGCUGCGUUCGGUGAGCAGCAGUAACGGGGGCAUCGUGCCCAUGUGGAACCGCGUGGCGCUGGCGGGCGGCGGCGGCGCCGGCGGUGGCGGCGGCGGCAGCGGUGGCGGCAGCGGUAGUACGACACCCGGCGGGUCCAUUAGCGCCGCCGCGCAGCUGCGUCACGAGCUCGGCGUGACGUUGGUGGCCAAGGUGGCGGAUUUCGGGCUGUGCGGGAUGUUAGCACCGGGCAAGCGCCACGUCAGCAAUGCGUUGCGUGGGACACCGUUCUACACGGCGCCAGAGACGGUGGCGACUGGUGGGUUACUGUACGUGUACGUGUAGUGUACGUCGUGUGUGGGCGUGGGCGUGGGCACCACCACCGCCGGCGCUGCGUGGCAGGCAGGCACGCUCUUUAGUGAACUAGGGCGCGGGGAGGGGUGGGAUGGGGGAGGGUGCAGUGCCGGGGAACGUUGCCACGUGCCUCUGCCACUUCUGUCCAGUCUGUGUGGCCUUGCAAGUUCGCCAUCGGCGACCCAAUUAGCCUCUCAUCCCAAAGCUCCUUUCCAGGCGUUUCCAGACCUUUUGUUUUUUCCCUUGUCCGGGCAAAAUAAAAUGAGAAUUGACGCUUUGUUCGACCCCGGGUUCGAACCCUUGCACACGCAGGCACCAUGACCCUGGCCUCGGACGUGUAUUCCUUUGGCGUCAUCGCCUGGGAGGUCUACACGGGCCGGCCGCCCUUCCAGCACGUACCUGACCUGGGGUUCGUGCGGGACGAGAGCUUUCCGCGCCUGCCGCCGCACGUGCCCGCCACGUUUGCCAACAUGGCGCUUGCGUGCGUGAACUCGGACCCGGUCGCUCGACCCACUUUUGAUCAGGUGCGUGUGAACGUAUGUAUGUAUAUAAACAUAUGUGUGUAUGUAUAUGUAUGUAUAUAAACAUUAUAUAGACGCAUGUUUUCAAUAAACCUCCAUUUGUGUGUAACUGUGCUUUGUCUGCGGAAGCGGAAGGGGUCAGGGUGUGGGCCGUGUGUGUGUGUGUGUGUGUGUGUGUGUGUGUGUGUGUGUGUGUGUGUGUGUUGGGCGGCGGGUUGGGGUUGGUGUCGAGGGGUUCGGUACUGGGUAUACGGCGGCACAGGGGGAGAGUUCGGUCGCCCCUGAAACUGCUAUCUGAAACUGCAAUUUCUACACUGCUUAGGAAUUUAUCGAGAAGCCCUCCAAUGAUUUAAUUAACUGAAUACCGGUGAGCACCUGGGGUUUGCCGCCUGCUGGCACUGGUGUGGCCUUUGUUGGCGGUUGGCGGUUGGCAUAGGGGGGUGGUUAGAGGGACCGGGGGUCCGCCCUGGCCAGGGGGAGCCUCCCUCCUUCCGCCCCUCCCCUUCCUUCCUCUCUUUCCUUGGCAGCAGCUUCACUCGUUUUCGUGGUUCGUCUUUCCCCCCCUCCUGCCUUCCACCGCACCCCGGUAGUGGUCCUUUCUGCAUCCGUCGCCACCUCGCCAUCCCUACCUAAAACGUAGGGAGUCCCCCUGCCCUAAGCCCCUCCCCCCCAUUUCUCUCUCUUCCGCUGCCACACUGCUCCUUCCCGUCCCUGCUGCGCCAUGUCGAUCCAGAUCCUUGACCGCCUCAUGACUCUUCAGUCCAAACUCGCCGUCAGCCUCCAGCAGCGGCUGACACGCUUGAUGGCCGGUGGCGGGUCCCUUUUCGGGUGCGCCGCGUCACCGCUCGGACCUGGCACCGCCUCGUCAACCUCCCACGGCGCGGCCACGCCCGCAACCACCACAACCGUCACAACCACCACCGCAGGUCCCGGCGCCCAGUGUGUCUCCAUGCCACCGGAGUCAAUGUACUGCGGCGCCGGCAACCCGGGGUUGGGGGUAACGGGAAUAGGCCGGGGAAUUUUGGGAGCGGCGACUGCGGGUCCCUCGGCGGGGGGGAGAGGGGGAGGAUCGGACAGUCUGGGGCUUUCGGGAGCUGUCGGCGAUGUGCCGAAUUUUCCGUUGUCGACGCCCUGCGUGCUGUCGGCUGCCGCGUCGCAGGCUGUAGCAGCUGCCGGUGGCUCUGGGGGUGGACGGUGAUUGGCGGGGGGGGAUUGGGGCCUGACAGCCCUGCGGUGUACGUCCUGUGUUUUUUUUCCAUGAACUGGGCCCCCGCGAUGUACGUCUGCGAUGUACGUCUGUUUGUAUGUAUGUACGUGCGUGCGUGCGUGCGCGUGUGUGUAUGUCUGUUGCUGUGUAUGUGCUCGAUUAUGAUAACGAGUAUGAGAGGGUGAAGAGGAUGAUGACAGGAUAAGCUUCAAGGUAACGGAAAGAGGGUGGGUGAGGCGGAUGGGGAGGAGAAAGAGGAGGAGGGGAGGGCAGAGAGAGAAAUAUAUCUUGUGCUGUGCGGUGCGGUGCGGUGCGGUGCGGUGGAGGUGAGAGGGAGAGAGGGUGUGUGUUGUUGAAGGUAUUUAUUGAAGGAUUCCCCGGGCUUGUGGCAGUGCGUGUGGGUGCCUGGGAACGCAUGUGCACUCUUCGUCCGCAGACAGCCUGUCCUGCUACCGUACGGCGAUAGAGGAAAGAAAGAGAGAUCAGUGACGAAUGCGAGUGAUGAUGGGAUUUGUAACUGGAGGGGCAGUUGAGGUGGCGCACUUGAAAACGACUUUUGCGCAAUAACACGUAGUACACGUAACGUGGACGACGCUUACGUACGCAGUAUUGUACGGUGUCGUACGAUUAUAUACAUCAAUUUACUGAGUUGUCAUGGCUGCGGGUGUGUGGGGGGACGUGUGUACGGCGGUCGGUUUAUGGUUACAACACCACGAGGACGUCGUGUGCAUACGUGUACGACCGUUGUCGUACAAACCUUCCGUGUACGGCAGGAGGGUCUGUUGUCGCAUUGUCAAAUGCGGGAGGACAAGUAUAUCGAAUGAUGAAACGCGGAUGCGUUGUGUCUUAAAAAAGUGUUGUGUUCAAGAAAGAGUUGGCGGAGAGGUCGAUGAUGAUGAUGAAGGUGCUGGCUGCCUAGAUACACUGUGAUGUCAUCUUUUCGGGUAGUGGUAGCGGUACUGGUACUGGUACUGGUACUGGUACUGGUACUGGUACUGGUACUGGUACUGGUACUGGUACUGGUACUGGUACUGGUACUGGUACUGGUGGUGGUGGUGGUGGUGGUGGUGGUGAUGUCCCUCCAGCCGGACGUGGCGGAAAGGAAAUGAGAGAACGAUGAUGAUGACGCACGACGCGCGUGCCGAUAGUAAGUAGCUACGGUACUUCUGACGCCCCGGUACUUGGUGCCACAAAAAAGGGGAGACCACCGCCUCCCCGUUCCUCUCCGGCCCUCGUAGCGGCUUUAUGCGCAUCUUCAGACAAAAGGUGCUGCAGUAACGGGAAAUAAAGACUCUGUCGGGGGGUCCCAUAUCGCCGCCAGUGCAUAUUCAAGCACGAGAGGUGAAAUUGAGGCCACCUAUAAGACACAGCAGUAGCAGUAGCAGCAAUAGCAGUAACAACAGUAGCAACAGUAGCAGUAACAACAGUAGCAGUAGUAACAUGAGGAGGCGGAGGAUGGAGAGGGGGAGGUUGCCAGUCCCCAGCCGUCAUGGAAGCCGCUGCGGGGGCGCUUGUGGCGCUGCGUCUCGCGGUUUGCUGCGCGCUUGGUAGUGAGUGGAGCCGUCGUCGUUAGGAAGGAGGAAGAAGAGGGGGGCGAGUGUGUUUGUGUCCGCACUGUCCUCUCACGGACACAUCAGGAUACCAAUUGUUUGGGGCGGCAUACCCCGGAAUGUGUGUAUGUAUGUGUGUGUGUGUGUAUGUGUGCUGGGGGUGGAGGGUGGGGGUGGGGGGCGCUCUCCGUUCUCAGAGCGUCUGCGGCGCUCUGUGCACCUCUGUGACCAACAACUGUGAGUGUAUUGCUCUGUGUGUGUGUGCCUGUCUGUCCGUCUGUCUGUCCGUUUGCUGAGCUGGGAUUUCUCCUCUUCUCCUUUUUCGCUUUGUCUCGUAUUCUCUGACCCUUUCGGGCAAUGGUCCAUAUUUUUGUCUCUUAUGUUCUUUUUUCUGUCCGUCUGUCUGUGCUCGUGUCGUGUGUGUGUGUGUGUGUGUGUGUGCGAAGGGGGGGCGGAAUGUGUUUUGCGCGCUUGUCGGGUCGCAUGUCGGCUUUGGACUCCCUGCGGGUGGUGCGUUGUGUUGUAAAACCCCGCGACUUCUUUCAGGACGGAGGUAGCAAGCGCAAAUGCAUGUCUACAUACAUACAUACAUACAUACAUAUGUACAUACAUACAUGUGGGUAUGUGUGGCCGUGGUGGUGGUGAAAGCGGCGGCGGCUGUCUACAGCGGGGGGCACAUCAGGCAGAUGGUCACAAGUCCUUUCCCCUCCCCCCCCUCGACCACACCACACACACACACACACACACACCNNNNNNNNNNNNNNNNNNNNNNNNNNNNNNNNNNNNNNNNNNNNNNNNNNCGGGCCCCCCGUCAGCAAGGCUCACACACGCUACCUGCCCAGUCACCUGCUAGCUCCUGUCCGGCAUGCGCCGCACCGGCCUCGCUCCUUUGUUUGUUGGUUGCCAGCUGGAGCUUGGUGGGCCCUUCACGGUGCAAGGAUUGUUGUGUAGUGGGGGGCUUUAUUGGGAAGGAGGGGGAAGAGGCGGGGGAAAGGGGGAACGAGGAGGAGGUGCUGUGACACGGGGGGUUUAGCUGAGGGUAGUCGUUUGUAAGAGGGUAAUUGUUUACCAGGCGUGUGAGGUUCCCCGGGCCAGGUGGCUGUUCAUCCUCUCGCUCCAUGCAGAAGAAGCACGGGGGGGGCGGGUUUUGGUGCUGGUGUGGUCUCUGCGCGCAUGCGUGUGCGUGUGUGUGUGCUUUUCUCUGUGUGUCUGUGUGUGUGCGUGUCUGUGUGUGUGUGUAUUGCAUCUUCGGACCGGACCUGACGCGAGCCAGGGCUUUCCUUAUGUGUACGUGCAUGUGCCGUACGUGUGAAAUUGUUGCGUGUGUGGCACCUGGAGGGGUGUUGUGGGGGUUUGGGAAGGAGGUGUACGAAUGUGGCGGGCUGUGCACACAGCGCCGUCAGCAGCAGCAGCAGCAGCGCUUUUUUAGCUCUGGUGUAACCGAAAUUUCGUUGGCCACAACAAGCAUAUUCUAUGCCAUAUAACCAUCCAGCGUGUCCGAUGUCGCGGUUUUUAAAGCACGGGCGGCCAGAAGUUGUGCUUCUGUGCUGCGGCCUGGUGCAGCGAGGAGGCGCAGGCGGUAGGGGGACUCGUGGUCCCUACCCAUGUACCUUUGGAACUACAGCUGCUACAUCUUAGGGGGGUCGCAGUCUUAGCUGCGUUGAAAGCAAUGUUGGUGGUGGUAGUAUUAGCAUGGCCGCAUUCUGGAGACUGAACGAAGGGAACCGGAGGGAACCGCCUUCUGGAGAGUUUUUAAGACGAAAAGGCGACUCUUGUGGAUGUCGCUUUUUGGCUUGCUAAUGGCUAGUCGGUUGGGCGGAUGUGGUGCCGUACGGUACGGUACGGUACGGCGCCGUAUAGAACCCCGUGGACGUAAUCGGUUGACCGCAGAGAGUGUUGCACUGUACGGAUACGUCUGAGAGCGCGUGGUGUGCGGCACUGAGGGGUGGGUGGUUGAAAGGGGUGAAGGGGUAGCGCGCUCUGACCACGUGUGUGCACGGAAGCGCGCGUACGGUGCUUGGCGGUUGUACGGAUGUAUGUAUGUUGUUACAGGGUGGUUAACUUCGCCAGCGGCCCCCUUUCCCGGGGCAGUCCCUGCUCUCCCCUGCUAGAGGGGCACCCUAAUCCGUCACCCCAUCCGACUUCGGAAUGUAUUCGUUGGGUUCGACAACUCACCACCAGCAUCCAACCAAAUCUAGCGGAUCAACGGCGCAUCAACUUAGUUCCUGGUCAGCUCGCAAGUUGAUAUUAUCACGUCCUACACCGUCCAUAUGAUGGGGGGCCACCUCCCAUUUCAUCACUCCUCAAACACCCGAGGAGCCGGCAGGCGGAUUUGAACCCGGGUCGACUGGGUCGACUGGGAGCAGAAGUCAGGCCUUAUGUAUGUAUGUAUGUAUGUAUGUAUGUAUGUGUGUUGGUAUGUAUGUAUGUAUGUAUGUGUGUAUGUAUGUAUGUAUGUGUGCAUGUAUGUAUGUAUGUGUGCAUGUACGUAUGUAUGUGUGCAUGUACGUAUGUGUGUGCAUGUAUUUACGUAUGCAUGGGGUGUGGGACGGCGUGUGUGUAUUUAUGUUUACAUUGCAUGUAUGUAUGUAUGUAUGUAUGGAUCCGUCUGUCUGUCCGUCUGUUUUAUGUCUGUCCGUCUGUUUUAUGGUGAGCGACUGCUACGCUUAAAAGGAGGGGCCGUUGAGGUAUUGGAGGAGCUCAGUUCGGCGUUUUGGUGGGUGCCGUGUCACGAGUCUACCUCUCCUUCCCCCCCACACAGCUGUGACAGGAGGCGCGGCCCGGCCCUAUCGUGCAGGGGCUGUGCAAGGUCGUGAGUGNNN
rnacentral:lncRNA from 1 species